rnacentral:rRNA from 1 species
CAAAGGGGGCGACCCCGGUCAUGGAUGGGCAUGCGGCGCAUUAGGUAGUUGGUGGGGCAACGGCCCACCAAGCCGACGAUGCGUAGGGGUUCUGAGAGGAAGGUCCCCCACAUUGGAACUGAGACACGGUCCAAACUCCUACGGGAGGCAGCAGUGAGGAAUAUUGGUCAAUGGCCGGAAGGCUGAACCAGCCAAGUCGCGUGAGGGAAUAAGGCCCUACGGGUCGUAAACCUCUUUUGCCAGGGAGCAAUGCCGUCCACGUGUGGACGGAAGGAGAGUACCUGGAGAAAAAGCAUCGGCUAACUCCGUGCCAGCAGCCGCGGUAAUACGGAGGAUGCGAGCGUUAUCCGGAUUUAUUGGGUUUAAAGGGUGCGUAGGCGGCCUGCCAAGUCAGCGGUAAAAUUGCGGGGCUCAACCCCGUACAGCCGUUGAAACUGCCGGGCUCGAGUGGGCGAGAAGUAUGCGGAAUGCGUGGUGUAGCGGUGAAAUGCAUAGAUAUCACGCAGAACCCCGAUUGCGAAGGCAGCAUACCGGCGCCCGACUGACGCUGAGGCACGAAAGUGCGGGGAUCAAACAGGAUUAGAUACCCUGGCAGUCCGCACAGUAAACGAUGAAUGCUAGCUGUCCGGGGGGAUUGACCCCUGG